UGGGGAAUAUUGCACAAUGGGCGAAAGCCUGAUGCAGCGACGCCGCGUGAGGGAUGACGGCCUUCGGGUUGUAAACCUCCUUCAGCAGGGAAGAAGCGAAAGUGACGGUACCUGCAGAAGAAGCGCCGGCUAACUACGUGCCAGCAGCCGCGGUAAUACGUAGGGCGCAAGCGUUGUCCGGAAUUAUUGGGCGUAAAGAGCUCGUAGGCGGUUAGUCGCGUCUGCUGUGAAAAUCUCGAGGCUCAACCUCGGGCUUGCAGUGGGUACGGGCUGACUAGAGUGCGGUAGGGGUGACUGGAAUUCCUGGUGUAGCGGUGGAAUGCGCAGAUAUCAGGAGGAACACCGAUGGCGAAGGCAGGUCACUGGGCCGCAACUGACGCUGAGGAGCGAAAGCAUGGGGAGCGAACAGGAUUAGAUACCCUGGUAGUCCAUGCCGUAAAACGUUGGGCACUAGGUGU
rnacentral:rRNA from 1 species